UGGACUGGGCGCUGAGCCCACCUUCAGCCUCCUGGAAGCACCUGGGACAGAGGAUGUGAGAGCUGAACCCAUUUUUUGGAGGACGUGACAGGCCAGCUAAGUCAGCGGCUCUUAGGAGAGGAGAAGGCAAGCCUGUGCCUGGAGCCUUUCCAGUCCCCUGCUUAUUAACCAUUUGUAUGUGACUCACUAGGAAAAAUAGAUAUGACAUCACCAUGGGGCUUACACACGGUCCAAAACAAAGUUUAAUUACCCAGGAAUGGUGGAGGUUCUAUGCUGUGCACACUGUUCUGUUUUCAAUCAAUUCUCUUUGAAUUUUAAAGUAUCCAUUAUACAAACUUGUUGGUUUUACAACCUGAAAGAGCACUGAUCCAGAGUUUGGAGAACAUUCCUCUACCCUGCAGCUGAGGAGAGGGGAGGCCUGAGGAGCAGGGGAGGGAUGGUUCUGGGAGGGAGCGUGCAUCCUCCACCCCCUUGGGAGAGAGCAGACAGUCAGGACCCUGGUGAUCCCACGAUUAUUUCUGCAUGAGAAGCCUCCUCCCUGGUGUCCUGCCUCCCGUCUCAACCCUCCUGUGCAGCUCACAGCAGACAGAUGCUGGGAUCUUCCAGAGGCUCACAUCUCCCCAAUUCCAUCCCCUGCUUAGGAGCCGUCCAUGGCUCACAGGGCACUCAGCUCCAGGACCAAGUAACUCCCCAGAGACCAGGGAAGACGACUGGAGAUCCUCUGACAUCCCCCGCUCCUCUCUAGAGAAAUGUAAAACUUCAGUCUCAAGUUCAUAUGGAAUUGCAAGGGACUCUGAAUAGUGAAAAGAACCUUGAAAAAGAAGGACAAAGUUGGAAGUCUCACCCUUCCUGAUUUUAUUUAUUUUUUUAUUUUAUUGUUUUUGUGUGUAGGGAGAUCAGCCCUGAGCUAACAUCUGAUGCCAAUCCUCCUCUUUUUUGCUGAGGAAGAUUGGCCCUGGGCUAACAUCCGUGCCCAUCUUCCUCUACUUUAUAUGGGACGCCGCCAUGGCGUGGCUUGACAAGCGGUGCAUCAGUGCGCACCUGGGAUCUAAAUCCCGGGCCGCCAGCAUCGGAGCACAUGCACUUACCCGCUACACCACCCAGCUGGCCCGUCACACUUCCUGAUUUUAAACUUACUACAAAGCUACAGUAAUCAAAACAGUGUGGUACUGGCAUAAGGAUGGACAUACAGAUCAAUGUGAUGGAAUUGAGGUUCCAGAAAUAAGUCCACAGAUUUAUAGCCCAUUGAUUUUUUGAUGAGGAUGCCAAGAGCAUUCAAUGUGGAAAGAAGUUUUCUGCGUGUGGCACUGGGUCGAAUGGACAUCCACAGGCAGAAGAACGAAGCUGGAUCUCUGCCUCACACCAUAUACAAAAACUAACUCAAGUGGAUGAAAGGCCUAAAUGUAGGAGGUAAAGCUAUAAAAGUCUUAGAAGAAAACAUAGGAGUAAUUCUUCAUGACCUUGGAUUUGAAAAUGUUUUCUUAGAUAUGACACCAAAAGCACAGAGAAAAAAGAAGAAAUAAAGGAUAAAUUGGAAUUAAUCAAAAUUUAAAAGUUUUGUGUAUCAAAGAAUACUAUCAAGAUAGUGAAAAUACAACCCACUAUUGGGAAUGGGAGAAAAUAUUUGCAAAUCGUAUA